AUGCUGCACGUCAUGAAUGCUCAGACUCACUUAGUCUCGCUUGCCUGUGUGUUGCCCCGUCACUAUCAUUGUGCUGAUGCCAUUUGGUUGUGCGUGACCGUGUCUGAAGCUGGUGUACAGGUCCUCCAGGCCCUCCCGCUGGUGACGCCUCCGUCUCCACCUCCUCCGGCACCGUCCUCCACCCCUCCCCCACCACCACCACCACCACAGGUUGCGGCCGCUCCACCAAAGGUUGGGCUUCCUACUCGGGUUCUGGCGCAGACCAGGGUAGAGCCUCGUGGCGUCUCCGUUUUGGAGACGCCGUGCGGGGAGGCCACCAUGGCGCCGGAGCCAAAGAAGAGGAGGAAGAUGACGACGACGGGCGACGUGGAGCAGCCGGCAACGCCCACUCCUGCUCGGACUGAGGUACAGACACACGCCAGUCGUACUCGCAGACACACGACUCGGUGGAGAGGACCGUCGGACUGCGUCUUUAGCAGCGACUCGGCCUCCUCAGAGUUUGUUUUGUGUUUUUUAUCCUCCUCACAGACCCGGUUGCCUGAGGGCUGGCGGACAGCCCUCAACGGGGAAGAGCAGGAGCUGAACAGUAGGACCCUCAAGCGGUGGUUUACCUGGUCGCAGCGAGCGAAGGAGAGGGCUGCGUUGACUCCAGGCGUUGCAGCAGAUGGAGGACGACCACCGGCGGCGGUGGAUCGUCCGGCGGCAGCAGCAACAGCGACGUCGGCGGUGCCUCAAGGCCGGGCGACGACAGCGGCGACGAGGGGGGCGGCGGUAGCCCCGGCAGCGGCACCGGCUGUGGCAGCGGCGGUGCCUGCUCUGCCGGCGCCUGCUCAGCCCGCCCCCUCGGCUGCUUACCCGGCCUUCCCGCCGACGGCUGCUGCCGCAGCUGCAACUGGACCUUUAAGAGCAACACAGCCUCUCCUUGUGGACCUCUCACCGCCCCGGCAGAGUGUGUGGGUGCUCCCCCCACCCCCCCCCCUCCUGACGCUCCCUCGGACAUUGCCGGCUCCACACGUCCUCCCUCCGCCGCUGGCCGCCGCACAGCACGCCGGCCCUGAGCUGCCUGUACCUCGCGGUACAGAAUACCAGAGGAAGCAGACCGCCAAGCGGAGGGCGGCGGCACAGCCGGGCACGACUCUCUCUUCCCGGGCCGGCGUGCCACAGGUGCAGAAGUGCAGAAAAUGCGGCCUGCCGAGGCGGAGGGAGACCGGACACACCCGCCACCGCGGAGAACAUUUCUGUUCCGUCGCGGCGGGUAAGAGUGUGGAGGACUGGCUGAGGGAGAAGAAGGAGCGGGACCAGGGUGGAGCCCCGGACUGAUGCGCACUAUUGCCGGGGUUGGUGUUGUACAUAGUUCUCUUUUGUAUAUAGUGGUUUGUGUUUGUGUGUGUGUGUGUGUGUGUGUGUGUGUGUGGUUCUUUUGCAGUGUUGGUGUAUAUAGUUGUUUGCUGUAUAUAGUUGUCAUUUUGCAGGAUUAGUGUGUAUAUAUAGUUCUUUAGUUAGUUAGUUAGUGCAUACACACUGCCUUAUUUAUGUAUGUAUGUAUGUAUGUAUAUUAGUGGUGGGACGUUAUCGGCGUUAACGGCUGCGUUAACGCCAAACUAUUAUCGGGCGAUUAAAAAAAAUAUAUAUAUAUCGUCGUUAAUCUAUUUUCAAACACUUCCUUGUUCGGACCCAUCACGUGACUGAACUAACCAAUCAGAAGCUAGAAUUUAGACUGAGGUAAACUUGAGGGAAUCAGAGCGGCAGAUUCAACAGAAUAUCCUGACUGUUGAAUAUGUAAACAUUAGGGGUGUGAAUCUUUGGCUUCAGACGAUUCGAUCAACGAUUCAGUAGUUGGGGAUUCGAUUCAAGGACAAUUUUUUUUUUUUUUGGAACGAUUCGAUUCUGUAAACCACGAUUCGAUUCAGUAACUUUGAACCAAAAUUCUAUAUCCGUGAAAUAAACAUGCAAUAAUGUGACACCCUGUCAUGGGUAGAUGUGUUGGAGCGUCUUGAACUAGGUGGAAAAUCACUCAGGAGCCGACGAGAAGUUUGGAAAAAGAUGGGAUCUUUUAUUUUCCCAAUUUAAGGCCCAUAAGGCAAUAAAAAUAAAACGAAAAUCAACAAAAAGAAAAAUACAUUUCACUAAACAAACUGAAUGGGCUUGAGAGUCACAAAAACAUCAAUUCGAACUUAAGCAUACUGGACCUUUAUAUUAUUGCUAGAUUUUGGCGUAGCCAAAAUAUACAAGAACGGCAAUAAACAUAAUUACAGAAACUCGGGGUCACUUCCGGUUUACCCGAAAGUUAUGACGUUAAUUUAAACCCCGUUGACGCGGCACACAUUCCAUAAUACAGGGGACUCUCUAAAUCGACGCCACUUCGACCUGGGCGGGACUUUACAUCCUACGUCACUCGCUAUGGGUGUGCAUGUGUGCGCGUAGCCGUCACUCGCGAUGGGUGUGCAUGUGAGAAAGGUUUUGGCUUUUAGUGUCUAUGGGUUGGUAAUAACGGUUCUGAUGAUUUUUCUGAUGGAAAAGUGGUCUUUUAUUUCCAUAAUCUUUGUUCAGUGAACGCAUAAACCCGUUUGUUAGUUAGCAGUUAAACAAAAUGCGAUCUCUUUGUUUACAGUUACCAACGACCAACUGAUGAUUGGAGUAUUGGGGGUUCGAUUCCCUAGUGAUGCAAGGUUUUUUCUUUCAUUUUGGACUGCACACACAUCGCGAGUGACGGAUAGUCGCACAAUGUACACACAUCACUGUCUUUACAAUUUCUAGGCAACCGAAGUUUAAAGAUUAUCAAGUGGUUAACUCUUGAAUCGCAUGUACUAAGACCUGAUGGGUUAGUGGUCAGAGAACAACUCAUUAACGCGGGGAUAAGGGGUUCGAUUUGAAGCCAGCUUUUUUCUUUCAUAUUGGACUGGAUGUUUGUAUGCCAUUUUGCGUAACUUGUAGUUUAUGAUGAAGAAAUGUUACUGGGGUUAAGGUUAGGGUAACGGUAAGACAGUGUUUUUGCAACACAAUAUUUCUUACAAUAACAAAGUCCAAAGUUUUGAUGACUCCAGUAGGAAACUUAAGAUACCUAGAAGAAAUGCGUGUGUGCUCACAAAACGUCAACAAGUCAACAGUGUGGUACAGGGUGAUCAUUUCUGAUAUACAGUACAAAAGCUGAAACUAUUAGCCAGGAGUGGGAAAGAUGCAGACGUGGGAAGCAAUAAGACACACCAACACACAGUUGUCUGUUGCAAAAUGGUUCAGAGUUUAAUAGAAAUAGUUAGGGUUAGCUGGUAUGGCGUUAUCUGGUAUGGCUAUAGUCUAAUGUUAGCUUAGUUUGUGUUGUUUCGUCAUGUUAAUCGCUAGAAAUAGUAAUAAUAAUAAUUCAUUGAAUUUAUUUAGGGGGGGGACCUCACUAACCACCACCAGUAUGUAGCACCCAUUUGGGUGAUGCACGGCAGCCAAUCGGCGCCAGAACGCUCACCACACACCAGCUUGAGGUGGAGAGUGAGGGAUGAGGUGGAGAGAGAGGGAAAAGAACAUUUAACACUACUAUGGACCACGUGUAAACCCUAUCGACCACCUGUAAACCCUAUCGACCAUAUUUAAACACUAUCGACCAAAUUUAAACAUGUAAACCCUAUCUACCACAUUUAAACAUGUAAACCCUAUCAACCACGUAAGCAGUGGCGGCUGGUGGAAUUUAUUUGAGGGGGGGCUGAACGUUUGCAUUCCAAACCCAAAAAGGGGGGUCUGGGGGCAUCCUUCCCCACAAGAUUUUUGUUGUGAUUUUCACAAACAAACGAAGCAUUCUGGUGCGUUCUGACAAAAUAGUAAAGGCAAAAAAAGAACAUUCUCUCUUUCUCUGUGUGUGAUAGAGAUAAUGAGUGACUGUGUUACGGCUAAACCAUUGUGUUGGUAAACGUCACUCAUAAAUAUAUCUACAGUCUGCAUUAGUAAGCAUUUAGACAAAUACAAUGAAAUAUGAAUUCCACAAAAUUCAUGUAAAUGUGCAAACUUUUGUGUGUGGUUGUUGAAGACACACUGAAGGCAUGAUACCAACAUAGGUUUGCAGAGGACUACAUGCAGUUCAAUAUGCACACUGAAGGCCUGAUGCCACCAUAGGUUUGCAGAGGACUAUAUACAGUAUGUACACUGAAUAGGUUUGCAAAGGACUAUAUACAAUAUGAACACUGAAGGCCUGAAGCAACCAUAGGUUUGCCGAGAACUAUAUACAGUAUGUACACUGAAUAGGUUUACAGAGGACUGUAUACAAUAUGCACACUGAAGGCCUGAUGCCACCAUGUUUGCAGAGAACUAUAUACAGUAUGUACACUGAAUAGGUUUGCAGAGGACUAUAUACAAUAUGCACAAUGAAGGCCUGGUCCCACCAUAGGAUGCAGAGAACUAUAUACAGUACGGGGUGGGGGGAGGUUGUGAGGGUCUGCAACCAGUGUCCAUCUCGAGGGAAAUACAUAUAGGCUAGUGCAGGGUUCCCCAAUUAGUUUUUCCAGAGGGCCAAAUUUGGUCAAACAUGCCAUGCCAAGGGCCGAAAUGUCGUUUCAUUUUUCUAAUUCGCAAUUUUUAUGUGCAAAUUUAGCUUUAAUUAUAAUUACUGUUUUAGCGAUAAUGCAGGAGGGCUAGAUCAAUUAGGUUUAAAU
ensembl:lncRNA